rnacentral:lncRNA from 10 species
AGUCAAGAUCGCGCCAUUGCACUCCAGCCUGGGUGACAGAGUGAGACUCCAUCUAGAAAAAAAGGAAAGAAAGAAAGAAAGAAAGAAAACUUCUGGAAUACUUAAUUAUGGUUAUAGAAUAGUAUGUUAUGUAAAUGUUCUCAAUGUUCACAUUGUGUGCUGAAAUGCCCUGUGUGGUGAAGGUGGUAGUAAUAUGAAGGAGUGGUCAAAGGAAGUGCUAAUGUUAUCUUAUGACAUGAAGAACCGAGAGACAUUAUUUUUAUUGGAUGGAUGUUGAAGUAAAACCAUAUGUUACUAUAAAUAACAAAGAAUGUGACUGUGUUUGGAGUGGGGCCUUCGAAGAGGACGUUUAAAUGAAAUCAUUACAGUAGGCCUAAAAUCAAUAUGACUGGUGUUCCUAUAAGGAGAAGAGAUUAAGUUGCACACAGAGGGAAGACCAUGAGCAGACAUGGGGAGAAGACGGCCCCCUACAAGCCAAGAAGAAAGACUUCAGAGGAAUCAACCCUGCUAAAAUCUUGAUCUUGGACUUCAAGACACCAGAAAUGAGAAAAUAACUUUCUGUUGUGUAAGCCACCCCAGCUGUGGUACUUUGUUAUGGCAGUCCUAGGAAACUAUGCACCACAGGCUCUCUCACAUGUCUUUUACAAAGGCACUAAUCCUAUUCAUGAGGGUUCUGACCUCAUGACUUAAUCACCUCCCCAAAGGCCUCACCUCCUAGUAGUAUCCCACUAAAGAUUAGGUUCCAACAUCCAAAUUUGCAGGGAGGAGGGGACACCAACAUUUGGAUGAUAGCACAAGUGGUAGACAAAGCUUGGAAACAG